GGAAUAUUGGGCAAUGGAGGAAACUCUGACCCAGCGACGCCGCGUGCGGGAUGAAGGCCUUCGGGUUGUAAACCGCUUUCAGUAGGGAAGAAGCGAAAGUGACGGUACCUACAAAAGAAGCACCGGCUAACUAUGUGCCAGCAGCCGCGGUAAUACAUAGGGUGCAAGCGUUGUCCGGAAUUAUUGGGCGUAAAGAGCUCGUAGGUCGUUUGUUACGUCGGAUGUGAAAACCUGAGGCUCAACCUCAGGCCUGCAUUCGAUACGGGCAAACUAGAGUUUGGUAGGGGAGACUGGAAUCCCUGGUGUAGCGGUGGAAUGCGCAGAUAUCAGGAGGAACACCAAUGGCGAAGGCAGGUCUCUGGGCCAAUACUGACACUGAGGAGCGAAAGUCUGGGGAGCGAACAGGAUUAGAUACCCUGGUAGUCCAGACCGUAAACGGUGGGCACUAGUUGUGGGAACCUUCCACGGUUUCUGCGACGCAGCUAACGCAUUAAGUGCCCCGCCUGGGGAGUACGAUCGCAAGAUUAAAACUCAAAGGAAUUGACGG
rnacentral:rRNA from 1 species